rnacentral:rRNA from 1 species
AUUCCGGUUGAUCCUGCCGGACCUGACUGCUAUCGGAUUGAUACUAAGCCAUGCGAGUCAUUGUAGCAAUACAAGGCAUACGGCUCAGUAACGCGUAGUCAACCUAACCUAUGGACGGGAAUAACCUCGGGAGACUGAGAAUAAUGCCCGAUAGAACACUAUACCUGGAAUGGUUUGUGUUCCAAAUGAUUUAUCGCCGUAGGAUGGGACUGCGGCCUAUCAGUUUGUUGGUGAGGUAAUGGCCCACCAAGACUAUUACAGGUACGGGCUCUGAGAGGAGUAGCCCGGAGAUGGGUACUGAGACACGGACCCAGGCCCUAUGGGGCGCAGCAGGCGAGAAAACUUUGCAAUGUGCGAAAGCACGACAAGGUUAAUCCGAGUGAUUUGUGCUAAACGAAUCUUUUGUUAGUUCUAGAAAUACUAACGAAUAAGGGGUGGGCAAGUUCUGGUGUCAGCCGCCGCGGUAAAACCAGCACCUCAAGUGGUCAGGAUGAUUAUUGGGCCUAAAGCAUCCGUAGCCGGCUCUGUAAGUUUUCGGUUAAAUCUGUACGCUUAACGUACAGGCUGCCGGGAAUACUGCGGAGCUAGGGAGUGGGAGAGGUAGACGGUACUCGGUAGGAAGGGGUAAAAUCCUUUGAUCCAUUGAUGACCACCUGUGGCGAAGGCGGUCUACCAGAACACGUCCGACGGUGAGGGAUGAAAG